rfam:Aeromonas hydrophila subsp. hydrophila ATCC 7966, complete genome.
CGUGUGGUGUCCGACAGAAGAUCGGAUAGCGACACGGCCUGAUAAUUGAGGU